GACGAACCGUGCGAACGUUGUUCGGAUUCACUGGGCUUAAAGGGUGCGUAGGCGGGUGAUCAAGUCCGGGGUGAAAUCCUCCAGCUUAACUGGAGAAUAGCCCUGGAUACUGGUUGUCUUGAGGAAGGUAGGGGCAUGUGGAACUUCCGGUGGAGCGGUGAAAUGCGUAGAUAUCGGAAGGAACGCCGGUGGCGAAAGCGACGUGCUGGACCUUUUCUGACGCUGAGGCACGAAAGCCAGGGGAGCAAACGGG
rnacentral:rRNA from 1 species